UACGUAGGGUGCGAGCGUUGUCCGGAAUUAUUGGGCGUAAAGGGCUCGUAGGCGGUCUGUCGCGUCGGGAGUGAAAACUCAGGGCUUAACCCUGAGCCUGCUUCCGAUACGGGCAGACUAGAGGUAUGCAGGGGAGAACGGAAUUCCUGGUGUAGCGGUGAAAUGCGCAGAUAUCAGGAGGAACACCAGCGGCGAAGGCGGCGCUCUGGGCCGGUACUGACGCUGAGGAGCGAAAGCGUGGGGAGCAAACAGG
rnacentral:rRNA from 1 species